ensembl:lncRNA
UUUAAAAAAAAAAAAAAAAAAAAAAAAAAAAAAAAAAAAAAAAAAAAAAAAAAAUCAAAAAUAUCAUUAGCGAACUCAUCACCACCAUAUUUAGAAGAUAAUACUAACAACAAUAACAUAAGUAACAUAAAUAACAUAAGCAACAUAAAUAAUAUAAGCAACAUAAAUAAUAUAAGUAACAUAAAUAAUUUUAAUGUAACCAACACAAGUGGUGGUGGUAACAGUAGUGAUGACUAUGAUAAUAACAACAGUGAUACUGGUAGUAAUGGUGGUAGAAACAACACUGGUUGCAAUAGUGAUAAUAGUUCUGUUUUAUCAUACGUAUCUUUAGAUGAAGCUGAACCCAAAAUAUUAGAUAAAAGAAAGAGUUCCCUUUUUUCUUGUUUUUCUUGUAUAUCUUCAAAUAUAAACGAAAAUUUAAAUAUGUUAAAUAAUAAUAAUAUGAACAAUAAUAGUAAUAAUAAUAUAAGUGAAAAAGGAUUGUGUAAUAUAACAACAAUAAUUAAUAAUAAUAGAUUAAAUAAUAGUAUGAAACAUAAUGGAUAUUUUAUUAAUGGUGGUAAUGGUGAUAGUGAUAAUGAUGAUAAUGAUGAAGAUAAUGACGAGGAGGACGAUGAUGAUAUUAUUUCAGAUGAUAAUGUUUUAUUACCAACUAAAGAUGAGAAAUUUCAUUUUUAUGAUUCCAAUGUAUAUUAUUGUUCUAUGUGUGGUGUUUGUGAAUUUUGUAAUUGUGGUCCUAGAACAUUAUCAUACAAAAAUAGUUGGAUUGAAAAAUUGAAUGAAAAUAAUUUUUCUUUUUUUGGAAUAGAUAAUCAAUCACAUGGUAUUUCUGAAGGAUAUUGUAAUUAUAGAUGUUAUAUACAGAAUUUUAAUGAUUUUGUUUUAGAUUCUUUACAAGCUUUAGAAUUAUUUAUAAAUGAAUGGGAAAAAGAAAAUAACGUUAAACCUAUUAUUAUUAUGGGAUUAUCUAUGGGUGGUUGUAUAGCUUUAAAAACUCUUGAAGCAAUAUUUAAAUGUAAUAAAAAAUGGAAAAAAUAUAUAAAAUCACUAGUAUUAAUAUCACCUAUGUUAAAUUUAGGAAAACAAAAAAAUAAAAUGAGUUAUAAAAUUUUAAUUCCAGCUACAAAACUAAUUCAACAUGUUUUCCCUCGUUUAACUAUUAAUGUAAAAGAAGGUAAUGCAAUAUAUCCAUGGAUAAAAGCCGACUCAGCAAUAGAUCCGUAUCAAUUUUGUGGUUCUUUAUGUAUUAAAAUAAUGUUAGAAUGUUUAUUAGCUGCUGAUAAUUGUCUUGACCUUGAAUAUUUAAAACCAGUAGAAGAAAGUAAUGUUAAUAUUAUUGUUAUUCAAUCAAAAAAUGAUUCUGUAGUUGAUCCUAUAGGUACAGUAGAAAUUUUUAAAAAACUUAUACAUUUGUAUAAGUUAAGGAUGGAUAAACAACAAGAACAACAAAAUGAAAAAAGAGAAGCGAAUAUUGUAACUGAUACAAAUAUAGGGAAUGUAAGUGAUUUUAAUGAUCAAUCACAACAAAAACAAUCGCUAACUGAUCCAAACAUUACAACUAUAACGUUGGACAAAUUAAACAAUAAUACUGUAUCUGGAUCUGUAAAUGGUGGCACUGUAAAUGGUGGCUCUGUAAAUGGUGGCACUGUAAAUGGUGGCACUGUUAAUGACACUAUUAAUAACUCAGAUAUAAAUAAAAACGUAAACAAUAUUGUGUGUAACACUAUUAAAUCGGAUGAAGUAAAUGAUAAUAUUAAUGUAUUACCUGAUGUGAAUAAACAAACAGAAAUGAAUAUAAACCUUAAUGGUCUUAACAGCAACAAUAACUUAAAUAAUUGUACACUUCAAAAAAAUACAACUAUAAUAACAACUAAUCAAAAUAAUAUAUCCAAACAGGAAACUACGGAUGUAAUACUUAAAAAUGGAAAUAAACUAGAGGAAGAACAUGAUAAAAAAAAAAAUGUAGAAAAUAACAACAAUAGUUUUAUCAAUAGCUAUAAUCCCCUUGAAGUUACUAUUUGGAAUAAAUUUGACCAUGGGUAUUAUAAAUCAAUUGACUUAAAAAAAAACAAUAUAUGUGAUGAGAAUUUAUAUUCAGAUUAUACAAAAUUCAAAAAUAUAUCUGCUUAUAUUUUAAAAUAUGGCUGUCAUACAUUACCAGGAGAACCGGACUCAAUGACUACAAUUUCUAUUUUAAUAGAUUGGUUGAACAAAACUGUUGAACAUUGUGUAAAUGAGUAACUUAUAUUGUGGAUAUGUAUACAUCACAAUAUAUUAAUUAAAAAAAGAAACGGUAAAAGCAUGUGCGAAAAAGCACAACUAUAUAUAAAUAUCACUCCAUAUUUUAUAUAUAUAUAUAUAUAUAUAUAUAUAGUUUGUUUAAACACUUUAGUUAUUUUUAAUUUUAAUUCACACAUAUUUGUUUCAUUUUUGUAAAUUUUUUUCAUCUGAGUAGGCACUUUUAGUAAAAACUUUUAAUAUUAUAUUAUAUCUCAUUACAUUUUUUUUUUUUUUUUUUAUUACCGUUUCUUAUUUUAUUUUUUUGUUUGUUAUAAUUUUAAUGAAUAUAUAUAUACACAUGGACAUAUUUUAAUUAAAACACUAAGGCACUUUGCUUUAUUACAAUAUUUAUUUUUUUUUAUUUUUUAUUUUAUUUUUUUUAUUUUCUAUUUUUUUUUUUUUUUUUAAUGUGCUUAUUAUAUUCAGUGAACAUAUAUUGUUCAUAUAUUUUGUAUAAUGUUUUUUUUAUGAUACUAUAUUGUAAAUAUAAAGAUGAAAAUUAUUAUUGUAUUUUUAACAUAAUAAUUAACAUUAUUUAUAUACGUAAGUAAUCUUACAAACCUUAAACAUUUUUCCUUUAUUUCAUCUUCUCAUUACUAUUAUCACAACUACUGUUUUCUCAUUAAUAUUAUCAUACAUACUGUUAUUAUUUUGUUUUUUUAAUGUAAUAAACCGUAGCUAGCUUUAUACA